UUGAAUAUUAAGUACUAAAGCCCUUCCUGUUGUGAUUUUCCUCUCGUGAAUAAAUUGAUUUCUGGAGAACCAUAUCCACCAUAACGAGUAACAGAAUAGUAGACAUUGGCCGUUGUCGCUCCUCUUGAAGACCCAGGACAUUCUCGAAAGACGUGGAGGCUACCUUUAGCCGCUGAACUACAUCGAGGACAUCUGUCAUUUGAAACAACUCUCCUGAUUCUGAGGUUAACAAAGUUUGGUAAAAAAUCCCAAGAGAUCCGCCAGAUUGUAAAUGAAAUUUUUGAUGGCAUCUGUAGGUUCCACAGUUUUUUGUAAAAUUCUUUUAUUCCGGUUUGUAAUAAAUAGUAACUAGGAUCCGAGUUAGCAAUUUGUAAUAGUUUAUAGGCACUGCGGGCUGAGAACUCACCAGAUAAUUCUCCUUUCCAAACCUGAAAAUCUUCAUGCUCAAUCUCUGCAAGGGAAUUUGAAGAAUUUUCCGAGCAAUAUCCUCUUGAAAGCUAUCAUCCCAUAUGGAUAUCCUAUCUCCUCUGUCUACUCUCCAGCACAUCCCUCUUUGGAGAAGACCCUUUGCAGCCCAUAUGCUUUUCUAGGUAAAAGAAGGAAUAAAGAGCUAGAGAACACUACCACUAGCCGAUUGACUUAAUGAAGAGAUCCUUGAGAGACGUGGAAGAUCAAACAAUAGAAAUA